GCGGGCGGCCCCGCGGUGCAUUGCUGUUGCAUUGCACGUGUGUGAGGCGGGUGCAGUGCCUCGGCAGUGCA
rnacentral:pre_miRNA from 1 species